GCCUUCGUAGUGUAGUGGUCAGCAUACUCAGCUCGUGUACCAGAAAUCCAUGGUUCGAUUCCUGGCGAGGGCA
rnacentral:tRNA from 1 species